UACGUAGGGUGCGAGCGUUAAUCGGAAUUACUGGGCGUAAAGUGUGCGCAGGCGGCCGCGCAAGUCGAGUGUGAAAGCCCCGGGCUUAACUUGGGAAUGGCGCUUGAAACUACGGUGCUGGAGUGUGGCAGAGGGAGGUGGAAUUCCACGUGUAGCGGUGAAAUGCGUAGAGAUGUGGAGGAACACCGAUGGCGAAGGCAGCCUCCUGGGCCAACACUGACGCUCAUGCACGAAAGCGUGGGAGCAAACAGG
rnacentral:rRNA from 1 species